AUGAAGACCUUUCUCAUCCUUGCCCUCCUUGCUAUCGUGGCGACCACCACCACAACUGCAGUUAGAGUUCCAGUGCCACAAUUGCAGCCACAAAAUCCAUCUCAGCAACAACCACAAGAGCAAGUUCCAUUGGUGCAACAACAACAAUUUCUAGGGCAGCAACAACAACAAUUUCCAGGGCAACAACAACCAUUUCCACCACAACAGCCAUAUCCGCAGCCGCAACCAUUUCUGCCACAACUACCAUAUCCGCAGCCACAACCAUUUCCACCACAACAAUCAUAUCCACAACCACAACCACAAUAUCCGCAACCACAACAACCAAUUUCGCAGCAACAAGCACAACUACAACAACAACAACAACAACAACAACAACAACAAAUCCUUCAACAAAUUCUGCAACAACAACUGAUUCCAUGCAGGGAUGUCGUCUUGCAACAACCCAAUAUAGCACAUGCAAGCUCACAAGUAUCGCAACAAAGUUACCAACUGUUGCAACAAUUAUGUUGUCAGCAACUGUGGCAGACCCCCGAGCAGUCACGGUGCCAAGCCAUCCACAAUGUCAUUCAUGCUAUUAUUUUGCAUCAACAACAACAACAACAACAACAACAACAACAACAACAACAACAACAACAACAACAACAACAACAACAACCGUCGAGCCAGGUCUCCUACCAGCAGCCUCAGCAACAAUAUCCAUCAGGCCAGGGCUUCUUCCAGCCAUCUCAGCAAAACCCACAGGCCCAGGGCUUUGUCCAACCUCAGCAACUGCCGCAGUUCGAGGAAAUAAGGAACCUAGCGCUGCAGACGCUACCAGCAAUGUGCAAUGUCUACAUCCCUCCAUAUUGCUCGACCACCAUUGCGCCAUUUGGCAUCAUGAGUACUAACUGA
rnacentral:rRNA from 1 species